rnacentral:rRNA from 1 species
AUUGCAGCCUGCAACUCGGCUGCAUGAAGCUGGAAUUGCUAGUAAUCGUGGAUCAGCAUGCCACGGUGAAUACGUUCCCGGGCCUUGUACACACCGCCCGUCACACCAUGAGAGUCGGGAACACCCGAAGUCCGUAGUCUAACCGCAAGGAGGGCGCGGCCGAAGGUGGGUCUGAUAAUUGGGGUGAAGUCGUAACAAGGUACC